rnacentral:rRNA from 1 species
CCUACGGGUGGCAGCAGUGGGGAAUUUUGGACAAUGGGGGGAACCCUGAUCCAGCCAUGCCGCGUGUGUGAAGAAGGCCCUCGGGUUGUAAAGCACUUUCAGUGAGGAAGAACGCCUGGUGGUUAAUACCCAUCAGGAAAGACAUCACUCACAGAAGAAGCACCGGCUAACUCCGUGCCAGCAGCCGCGGUAAUACGGAGGGUGCGAGCGUUAAUCGGAAUUACUGGGCGUAAAGCGCGCGUAGGUGGCUUGAUAAGCCGGUUGUGAAAGCCCCGGGCUCAACCUGGGAACGGCAUCCGGAACUGUCAAGCUAGAGUGCAGGAGAGGAAGGUAGAAUUCCCGGUGUAGCGGUGAAAUGCGUAGAGAUCGGGAGGAAUACCAGUGGCGAAGGCGGCCUUCUGGACUGACACUGACACUGAGGUGCGAAAGCGUGGGUAGCAAACAGGAUUAGAUACCCGGGUAGUC